rnacentral:tRNA from 1 species
GCCUUCAUGGUGUAGUGGUAAGCACGCUCGACGUGUAACCGAGAGACCCGUGGUUUGAUUCCCGGCGAAGGCG